rnacentral:rRNA from 1 species
GCCUGUUUAUCAAAAACAUGUCUUUUUGUUAAUAAUUUAAAGUCUAAUCUGCCCACUGAUGUAAUAUUGAAGGGCUGCAGUAUUUUGACUGUACAAAGGUAGCAUAAUCAUUAGUCUCUUAAUUGGUGACUUGUAUGAAGGAUUGGAUGAGAUAUAAGCUGUCUUAAUAGUAUUUAAUUGAAUUUAAUUUUUUAUUUAAAAAGUUAAAAUAAUUUAAAAAGACGAGAAGACCCUAUAGAGUUUUAUAUUUUAUUAAAUUAAAAUUAUUUAUAUAAUUAUUAAUAUAGAUUUAAUUUUAAUAUUUUGUUGGGGUGACAAAAAAAUAAAAAAAACUUUUUUUAUUAUUUACAUAAAUAAAUGAAUUUUUGAUCCAAUUUUAUUGAUUAAAAGAAAAAAUUACCUUAGGGAUAACAGCGUAAUUUUUUUUUUUAGUUCUUAUAAGAAAAAAAGUUUGCGACCUCGAUGUUGGAUUAAGAUAAAAUUUAA